GACGUUGGAAAUUUAUUUUCAGUGUCGCAGGGAAACCGAUAAACACACCGCCUGGGGAGUACGACCGCAAGGUUAAAACUCAAAUGAAUUGACGGGGACCCGCACAAGUAGUGGAGCAUGUGGUUUAAUUCGAAGAUACGCGCAGAACCUUACCAACACUUGACAUGUUCGUCGCGACUCUAAGAGAUUAGAGUUUUCGGUUCGGCCGGACGAAACACAGGUGCUGCAUGGCUGUCGUCAGCUCGUGUCGUGAGAUGUUGGGUUAAGUCCCGCAACGAGCGCAACCCUCACUUUUAGUUGCCAUCAUUAAGUUGGGCACUCUGAAAGAACUGCCAGUGAUAAGCUGGAGGAAGGUGGGGAUGACGUCAAGUCCUCAUGGCCCUUACGUGUUGGGCUACACACGUGCUACAAUGGCAUCUACAACAGGAAGCAAAACGGCAACGUUAAGCAAAUCCCGAAAAGAUGCCUCAGUUCGGAUUGCACUCUGCAACUCGAGUGCAUGAAGCUGGAAUUACUAGUAAUCGUGGAUCAGCGUGCCACGGUGAAUGCGUUCCCGGGUCUUGUACACACAGCCCGUCACACCAUGGGAGUUGGUUCUACCUUAAGGCAAGGUUUUAAACCCUUGACCACGGUAUAGUCAGCGACUGGGGUG
rnacentral:rRNA from 1 species